AUGACUCUCGGCAACGGAUAUCUCGACUCUCGCAUCAAUGAAGAAUGUAGCGAAAUGCGAUACUUGGUGUGAAUUGCAGAAUCUCAUGAACCAUCGAGUCUUUCAACGCAAGUUGUACCCCAAUCCAUUAGGUCGAGGGCAUGCCUACCUGGGUGUCAUGCACCGUCGCCCCCCUUGACCCCCGCCCAUCGGGCUCCGAGGGAAGGGGGCGGGUGUAAGAUGGCCUUCCGUGAUCCCGUCGAUCACGAUUGGCCCAAAAGCGAGUCCCCGACAAUGAUAGUGCCGUGACUGUUGGUGGUAGAGCUCUCGACGUGCCUCGUCCUCGGUGACGUGUGCUCGUUGUCCACCCGACCCUGUCGAACCCCCCGCAUCGCUCAAUUGAUGCUCGUGUAGCAACCCUAGGUCAGGCAAUACCACUUACUGAGUUUAAGCAUAUCAAUAAACGGAGGAACAAAAACUUACUAGGAUUCCCCUAGUUACGGUGAGUGAAUCGAGAAGAGCCCAGCUUGAGAAUCAAGCACCCCCGAUGACCAAAUUUUAGUCUGGAGAAGCGUCCUCAGCAGUGGACCGGGCCUAAGUCCCCUGGAAAGGGGUGCCAGAGAGGGUGAGAGCCCCAUUGUGCCAAGACCCUGUCGCACCACAUGGCGCUAUCCACAAGUCAGAUUGUUUGGGAAUGCAGCCCCAAUCGGGUAGUAAAUUCCGUCCAAGGCUGAAUACAAGCGAGAAACCGAUAAUGACCAAGUACCACGAGGGAAAGAUGAAAAGGACUUUGAAAAGGGAGUCAAAGAGUGUAUGAAAUUGUCAGGAAGGAAGCGAAUGGGGGCCUAUGCCCCAAUCGGAUGUGGAAUGACAAGAGCCGAUCCGACGAUCAGCUUGGGGCAUGGACCAACGUGAGUCGCAUCGAUGACCUAAGCCUAGGCUUUCGAUGUGCCCGUGGAGACAUCAUCAUCGUGAUCAUGGAAUGCAGCAUGUGUCGUGUCGAUGUGCCUCGGCACCCGCGUGCUCCUGAUGUCGACCUGUGGGCUCCCCAUCCGACCCGUCUUGAAACACGGACCAAGGAGUCUGACAUGCAUACGAGUCAACAGGCCAAGAAACCCGUAAGGCGUAAGGAAGCUGAUUGGCAGGAUCCCUCACGGGUACACCAUCGAUCGACUUUGAUCUUCUAAGAAGGGUUCGAGUGCGACCAUGCCCGUCGAGACCCAAAAGAUGGUGAACUUUGCCUAAGUGGGGCAAAGCCAAAGGAAACUCUGGUGGAGGCUCGCAGUGAUAUUGACGUGCAAAUUGUUCGUCUGACUUGGGUAUAGGGGCGAAAGACUAACGAACUAUCUAGUAGCUGGUUCCCUCUAAAGUUUCCCUCCGGAUAGCUGGAGCCCCCGGUGAGUUCUAUCGAGUAAAGCCAAUGAUUAGAGGCAUCGGGGGCGCAAUGCCCUUGACCUAUUCUCAAACUUUAAAUAGGUAGGACGGUGCAGCUGCUUCAUUAAGCCUUGCCACAGAAUCGAGAGCUCCAAGUAGGCCAUUUUUGGUAAGCAGAACUGGCGAUGUAGGAUGAACUGGAGUCAGUUACGGUGCCCAACUGUGCACUAACCCAAAACCCACAAAGGGUGUUGGUUGAUUACGACAAUAGGACGGUGGUCAUGGAAGUCAAAAUCCGCUAAGGAGUUUGUAGCAACUAGCCCUGAAAAUGGAUGGCACUCAACGGGGGCUUCAGGAAGAGUUAUCUUUUCUAUUUAACGGCUUGCCCACCAUGGAAACGUCUCAACCUGAGGUAAGGUCCAGUGGUCGAAAAAGCACCGCAUGUCAUGUGGUGUUCGGUGCGCCCCUGGUAGCCCUUAAAAAUUUAGAAGAUUGAAUACCGUCUGCGCCCGAUCAUACUCAUAACCGCAUCAGGUCUCCAAAGUGAACAACCUUUGGUCGAUGGAAUAAUGUAGGUAAGGGAAGUCAGUAAAAUGGAUCCAUAACAUCGGGAAAAGGAUUGGCUCUGAGGGCUGGGCAUGGGGGUCCUAGUCUCAAACCCGUCGGCUACUGAUGCACUGCUCGAGCUGCUCUCACGAUGAGAGCGGGUCGUCGUGUGCCAGUCAAGGAUGGACUACGAACGGCUCCUUCGGGGGCCUUCCCUGAGCACCGAACAAUCGACUUAGAACUGGUAUGGAUAAGGGGAAUCUAACUAUUUAAUUAAAACAAAGCAUUGUGAUGGUCCUACGGAUGUUCAUGCAAUGUGAUUUCUGCCCAGUGCUCUAACUGUCAAAGUGAAGAAAUUCAAUCAAGCGUGGGUAAAUGGUAGGAGUAACUAUGACUCUCUUAAGGUAGCCAAAUGCCUCAUCAUCUAAUUAGUGAUGCGCAUGAAUGGAUUAACGAGAUUCCCACUAUCCUUGUCUACUAUCCAGUGAAACCACAGCCAAAGGAACAGGCUUGGUGGAAUCAACGGGGAAAGAAAACCCUGUUGAGCUUGACUCUAGGUCGACUUUGUGAACCGACUUGAAAGGUGUAGGAUAAGUGGGAGCCCUCGGGCGAAAUUGAAAUACCACUACUUUUAAUGUUAUUUUACUUAUUUCGUGAAUCGAAGAUGGGGCACGACCCCUUCUUUUGGACCUAAGGUCAGCCUCAGUUGGUCGAUCCGGGCAAAAGACAUUGUCAGGUGGGGAGUUUAGCUGGGUUGGCACAUCUGUUAAAAGAUAACGUAGAUGUCCUAAGAUGAGCUCAACGAGAACAGAAAUCUCGUGUGGAAGAAAAGGGUAAAAGCUCAUUUUAUUCUGAUUUCCAGUACGAAUACGAAUUGUGAAAGCGUGGCCUAUUGAUCCUUUAGACCUUCGAGAUUUGAAGCUAGAGGUGUCAAAAAAGUUACCACAGGGAUAUCUAGCUUGUGGCAGCCAAGCAUUCAUAGUGACAUUACUUUUUGAUCCUUCAAUGUCGGCUCUUCCUAUCAUUAUGAAGUAGAAUUCACCAAGUGUUGGAUUGUUCACCCACCAAUAGGGAACGUGAGCUGGGUUUAGACUGUCGUGAGAUGAUUAGUUUUACCCUACUGAUGGCGACGUCGUAAUAGUAAUUCAACCUAGUACGAGAGGAACUGUUGAUUCGCAUAAUUGGUCAUUGCGCUUGGUUGAAAAGCUAGUGGUGCGAAGCUACCAUGUGCUGGAUUAUGACUGAAUGCCUCUAAGUCAGAAUUAAAGUUGGAAGAGGCGCGCGCCCGUCGCCCGAUUGCCAACCCUUAGUAGGGGCCCAUGGCCCUCAAGAGCACGUGUCGUAGGUGCAGCCCCUACGGCAGAUGAGCUGCACUGGCCUCCUUGGAGCUCAAUUCCUAUCGAGCGGUGGUAUAAUCUUUUACAGAUGACUUAAAUAUGCGAUGGGGUAUUGUAAGUGGUAGAGUGGCCUUGCUUCCACGAUCCACUAAGAUUCAACCCUUUAUC
rnacentral:rRNA from 1 species